rnacentral:lncRNA from 1 species
CUCUCUCUCUCUCUCUCUCUCUCUCUAGAUUCUCCCGUAUUGCAUUGGUAUAAGUUUUAAAAACAUUGCCAUAUAAGAUGCAUUAAAUUUUCAUUAAAUUGAAAUAAUUUUCUCCACAUGUGAAAUUAAAUUAUAGAAUUUCACUGAUAAUGGUUAGGAGCCAGCCAAGUGAACAAAGUAAAUUUAAGAUUCAAAAAAUCAUGAAAGCACAAUUUAGUGGGUUAAUGUGGUCUAGAUAGGAUUUUUCAUUCUAAAUUUUGUGAGGGCUAGAGGAGAUAAAUUUGGCAUUUUGAUUUGGUUCUAAAAGGCCAAUAACUUUUGCUGAAAUUUGUGUGUGUUGGGUUCACAAUUCACCAAAAUUCAACUGACCGAAGUUUGGAUCCACCGAUCGCUUGGACCCAUGAGUAAUGACUUUCACUCGGUUUGUUACAAUUUAUGAAAAUACACAUCAAUGGCAUGGAUCAUCCACCUCACUUCAAUCUAGAUAGUUCUAAGUCAAUUCGAAUCGGAGAACUUCAGUGUGUUAAAUCGACAAAAGGUUUUUUUAAAAAAACUGAUCAGUCAUCUGGAUCAGCCACCUUAAAAAUGGUGUCAAAUUGGUGGAUCGACGAUCUAGAUUGUAGAAUCAUCCACCUCACUUCAAUCUAGAUAGUUCUAAGUCAGUUUGAAUCGGAGAACUUCAGUGUGUUAGAUCGACAAAAGGUUUUUUUAUACUGAUCAGUCAUCUGGAUCAGCCACCUUAAAAAUGGUGUCAAAUUGGUGGAUCGACGAUCUAGAUUGUAGAAUCAGCCGGUUUCGACUUAAAGAAAUUUUUUUAAAAUACACUAUAAUUUAUCAAAAAUCUAGUUUUCUAAAAUAGUGGCACUUGCAUUAUGGUUUUUUAUUAUUGUAUAAAAAAUAUGUAAAUAACAUAUCUCAUGUUAAAUAUUUGUUGUUUAUUAAAUUUAUUUUAUAAUCAAAAUAAAAUUUAGAAUGCAACAUGACCAUAAAAUGAAUCUCUUUAACUCAAUUUAUUUAUUUUAUUAUUAUAUUAAUUUAAAAAUUUUGAUUUUUGAAAGAAGCUAUAUAGAACAAAUUUAAUGGAAUAGGUCGUUAAUAAAGAGAGAAAGAAUUUUAAUAGAAUUAUUUGUUUGUGGUACUUAGUAGAGAGACAGAGAGGAAAAGAUAGAACUUUAGUGGAAUUGAUUUUUGUAAAAUUAUUAAUAAACCAAACUUUGCAAAGAGAUGGUAAUUGAAAUUUAGUUUUGGAAGUACUAAUAAUGCAGCUAGUUGUUGAUAAACCUACUCUAAAACCCAAGGAGAGAGAGAUUUAAUUGAAAAAGCAUAGUCUUUGUUGUUUUAAAUACUCCAUAAUUACUGAACUAGGCUCCAACAAUAAUACGUUUACUCUUUUGUUUUGCUUAUAUUAGUAGAUGUCAAGAGAUUGUAUGUUAUAAAUUCAUUCAUUUCGUUGGGUAAAAAUUCCUAUUAAAGAAAGUUUUUAGGAUUCUAAACUUUGAGAAAGUAGCCGCAUCCACCCACAGUAGGUCAACUACAAAAUUAAAUAAAAUAGAAUAAAAUUUUAAAUUAUUUAUAUUUUUAUUUCUAAAUAAAUUAUGGACUAAGAUACCAUCUCAUUUUUGUAGAGACAAAUCAAAAUAAAUCAAAGUCCAUGUUUUUUUCUAAAAUUAUUCUGGUAUUUCAUAAGAUCUAAAAGGUAUGUACAGCGGGAACAAGUGUACAAUAUGCGCUUUAUAUUUACUAGUAUUUUAGAACGUGGAUCGAUAAGGCAAAUCGUUCACUCAUAGAUCUGCAUCGGAUCACUCGAUCAACAAACUAGAUCAGUUUUGGAUGAGUCCAAAUUGGUAAUUCAAAAAAUCCAAAAAAAUAAAUAUUAAAGUGGAGAUUUAUGGUGUUGGACUUUUAUUACGCCUAAAGAUACAUGAGACAAGUUUAACAAGUCAAAAAAGUAAGGGGUUUUUAGGGGGAACUGAUUUGGGACCUAUAUAAUCCCAUAACCAAUUCAAUCCUAAUCGACUCCCAUCUGAAUCGGCAAUCGAAGUAAAUAAUCAUGGGGUUUUAAACACUAGUAUAUAAAUGAAUAAGUUCAAAGCAUAAGCAGUUAAGGUGGAAUGUGUCACAACGUGAUGUCUUGAAUUCAUUCCUACUAUAAAUAAAAGAUCAUGUAUUAAUUUUUUUAAAAAAAUUUAAUAUAUAACAAUAAGAGCAAAGAUCCUAUGAAACUAUCCCACACCCAUGUGUGUAUAAAAUUAAAGUAAUUUAUAAAUCUUCUUGAGACACUAUAUAAGUGACACGUGUUGACUGAACCUAGGACCGUGAUUUGGAGUAAGUGGGACAUUUUAAUUGUUUGAGUUUAUAAAACCGCGGCCCUACAAAAUAGAUUCCUUUAAAUAAAAAAUCCUAAACUAUAAGAACUUUAGAAGCAUAUCCACCAAGUUAUCAUUAAGAAAAUGGCAUUAAGAAAAUGCCAAAAUCUGGCUACACUUUCCUAUUAUUUUAAGAGUGCAUAUUGUAGAGAGACAAGGCUAUAAAUAAUCAAAGUAAAGCAUACCUUUACAUAGUGUUGAGAAAU